rnacentral:rRNA from 1 species
UGGGGAAUUUUGGACAAUGGGCGCAAGCCUGAUCCAGCCAUGCCGCGUGCGGGAAGAAGGCCUUCGGGUUGUAAACCGCUUUUGUCAGGGAAGAAAUCUUCUGAGUUAAUACCUCGGGAGGAUGACGGUACCUGAAGAAUAAGCACCGGCUAACUACGUGCCAGCAGCCGCGGUAAUACGUAGGGUGCAAGCGUUAAUCGGAAUUACUGGGCGUAAAGCGUGCGCAGGCGGUUUUGUAAGACAGAGGUGAAAUCCCCGGGCUCAACCUGGGAACUGCCUUUGUGACUGCAAGGCUUGAGUGCGGCAGAGGGGGAUGGAAUUCCGCGUGUAGCAGUGAAAUGCGUAGAUAUGCGGGGGAACACCGAUGGCGAAGGCAAUCCCCUGGGCCUGCACUGGCGCUCAUGCACGAAAGCGUGGGGAGCAAACAGGAUUAGAUACCCCUGGUAGUCCACGCCCUAAAACGAUGUCAACUGGUUGUUGGGAAGGUUCCUUCUCAGUAACGUAGCUAACGCGCGAAGUUGACCGCCUGGGGAGUACGGCCGCAAGGUUGAAACUCAAAUGAAUUGACGGGGUCAUA